UCGGAGUCACAAACCCAUAAAAAUCCAAACAUUUUCACAUUUGAAGAGUUGUUUCCUUCUCAGAAGCUACGCUGCUUUGGGAGAUUUUUGGAGAAGAAAAUGUCAAGAAGGAGCGAAUCCGGCAUUCAGUGGACUCCAAACUACAGUAAGUAUCCUUAACUUUGUAGCUAUGUUGUUAAAUUAUGUGAAAAUGUGAUUUUUGAUUUUUCUAAUUUUUGUUUUUUUUUUGUUUUUUUUGUUUUUGCUUCCUCAAACACCGUAGUUGAAAUGGGUGAACCUACAUGUUUUAGCAUGAAAUUUUUUUAUGGUGGAACAAUGAGGCAUGAACCAACUAGAACAUAUAUAGGAGGGCAGGUAGAAUGCUUUGAUUUUUUGGAUAUUGACCAAUUUGGUAUAUUAGAUAUGUGGGAUUUUGCAAAUGCUUUAGGGUACACUGAGAAGGGAAGUUUCAAAUUUUGGCUAAAACAUGAGAAUUAUUUUAGGCCAAUUGAAACUGAUGCUGAUGUUCUUAGCAUAGCUGACUGUAUUCCUUCAAACUUUGAAGUUCAGAUGUUCAUUGAAAAGGUUAAUAACUCAGAGGGGGGUACUGAAUCUGUCAUAAAUGAUGAAAUUGGGAUAGAUGAAACUGGGGUAGAGUUAAGUGAUGAGGGUGAUGACAGUGAAGAUGAUGACAUUUUUUAUGAGUCAGAGUAUGAUAUGGAGGAUGAUGAUAAGCUAUUUGAAGCUUAUGUUGAUCCUGAAGAUGAAUUUGGUGGUUUAGACAAGGGCAAGGGUAAGAUAGAUGAGGGUAGUGAAUUCAUAAGUGGUGGGAUGUUUGAUAAGCUAUAUAAUGAAGAAGGGGAGGAAAAUCUUGUUGCUAGUGAUGAUGACUUAGGGAAACUCAGGCUCUGAAAUUGGUGCAAGUUCUUCUAAGUCAGCCUCUGCAUCCAUCACAAAUUCCAAGGCAUCUUCCAAGUCAGUAGUUGCUUCCAAGUCAGCCUCUAAGAUGAAGAAGUGAUCAAGUUUGAACAAGAUUGUACUUUUGUUAUUUUGUUUGUUUGAUGUUU